CUGACAGUUUGUGGGGGAAGGGCCCAACUGGGAGUGGCAGUUGGGUCUUGUGACUAGCACUUCCUUCCUGCUGGGAGUGGCAGUUGGGUCUUGUGACUAGCACUUCCUUCCUGCCUGGUGUGGCAGUUGGGUCCUGGGGACUAGCACUUCCUUCCUGCGGGGGUGGUCUUGCUUCCAGGUAUUGGAGGAGAGAGGAGCUUGUUCAGCCCAGUCUGAAGUGGCAUGCUCUUCUUGGUUGAGCCCAAAGACACAGGCUUCUAAAGAAAGAGAGCAUAGAAAAAACAACAAUCCAGGGGGAAGAACUGCUUGUAUUAAAGGUGGCAUUUGAAGCCUGGGAAUGAUGCUAUCACUUGAAUAAGACCAAGUUCUCUACAGGAGCAUAGUUGGACCAUAAGAACAUGAUAUUAGUCCAACUUGCCAAAAAACUAAGCCAGUAACAUAUAAAGAAGCUAAGGAUUCUGAGAGGAAAGGAUUGGAGGAAUACAUUACAAACAUGGGGGCAACCUGAAUAAAGACAUGGCGAUUGGAGAUGGAAUGUUCACUCUGGAGAACAACAAAUAGUUCCUUUCAUCUGAAUCAGCCUUCUUGCAUUUAUCAACCAGGGAAAAGAAAGACAACUAUCCCUAACACUCUUCAGUUUCAAAGGAACAAGCAAGAAACAACGAACUCCUCAGCUCCGAGGAGUACUUUGAUCUCCUUGGAAAAUGGGCACCAUGAAAACAAGAUGCUUCCUUUCUUGAGGAUUGUUUUUCUAUGUUCCUAUUUUUCUCCUUUUAAAACAAAGCUCUCAUCAGAAAAUGAGUAA
rnacentral:lncRNA from 1 species